AUUGAACGCUGGCGGAAUGCUUUACACAUGCAAGUCGAACGGCAGCACGGACUUCGGUCUGGUGGCGAGUGGCGAACGGGUGAGUAAUGUAUCGGCACGUGCCCAGUCGUGGGGGAUAACGUAGUGAAAAUUACGCUAAUACCGCAUACGAUCUAUGGAUGAAAGCGGGGGAUCGCAAGACCUCGCGCGAUUGGAGCGGCCGAUAUCAGAUUAGGUAGUUGGUGGGGUAAAGGCCCACCAAGCCAACGAUCUGUAGCUGGUCUGAGAGGACGGCAAGCCACACUGGAACGGAGACACGGUCCGGACUCCUACGGGAGGCAGCAGUGGGGAAUUUUGGACAAUGGGCGAAAGCCUGAUCCAGCCAUUCCGCGUGCAGGAUGAAGGCCCUCGGGUUGUAAACUGCUUUUGUACAGAACGAAAAGGUUUCUACUAAUACUAGGAGCUCAUGACGGUACUGUAAGAAUAAGCACCGGCUAACUACGUGCCAGCCGCCGCCGUAA
rnacentral:rRNA from 1 species